AUUCUUCUGAAGCCACACCCAGUGGUGCUCAGGGCUUACUCACGGUUCUGCGCUCAGGGAUCACACCCUCCCCCCCCCUCGCUGCUAGGCUCAGAGGACCAAAUGGGAGACUGAGGAUGAAAACAGGGCUUUGUGGGUGCUACGUGAGGCGUGGAGGCAGUGAUUGGCAUGUUCCCUGGAACAGAGCGAAUGUAUCCAUGUCAUCGUGACUCCGGCUUCUUGCUGACACCCUGGCCGAGUAUCUCCCGGCGUGGCCGUUGUUUCGGGACCCCUCCCCAGCACCAGUACAAACACCCGUGCCAUGGCGCGGCAGCACUGCCAAGCCGGCUCUCACGCCA